rnacentral:rRNA from 1 species
UGGGGAAUAUUGGACAAUGGGCGCAAGCCUGAUCCAGCCAUGCCGCGUGAGUGAUUAAGGCCUUAGGGUUGUAAAGCUCUUUUGCCCGGGACGAUAAUGACGGUACCGGAAGAAUAAGCCCCGGCUAACUUCGUGCCAGCAGCCGCGGUAAUACGAAGGGGGCUAGCGUUGCUCGGAAUCACUGGGCGUAAAGGGCGCGUAGGCGGCUAUUUAAGUCGGGGGUGAAAGCCUGUGGCUCAACCACAGAAUUGCCUUCGAUACUGGAUAGCUUGAGUAUGGUAGAGGUUGGUGGAACUGCGAGUGUAGAGGUGAAAUUCGUAGAUAUUCGCAAGAACACCGGUGGCGAAGGCGGCCAACUGGACCAUUACUGACGCUGAGGCGCGAAAGCGUGGGGAGCAAACAGG